rnacentral:rRNA from 1 species
GAUGAACGCUGGCGGCGUGCCUAAUACAUGCAAGUCGAGCGAACGGACGAGAAGCUUGCUUCUCUGAUGUUAGCGGCGGACGGGUGAGUAACACGUGGAUAACCUACCUAUAAGACUGGGAUAACUUCGGGAAACCGGAGCUAAUACCGGAUGAUAUUUUGAACCGCAUGGUUCAAAAGUGAAAGACGGUUUUGCUGUCACUUAUAGAUGGAUCCGCGCUGCAUUAGCUAGUUGGUAAGGUAACGGCUUACCAAGGCAACGAUGCGUAGCCGACCUGAGAGGGUGAUCGGCCACACUGGAACUGAGACACGGUCCAGACUCCUACGGGAGGCAGCAGUAGGGAAUCUUCCGCAAUGGGCGAAAGCCUGACGGAGCAACGCCGCGUGAGUGAUGAAGGUCUUCGGAUCGUAAAACUCUGUUAUUAGGGAAGAACAUAUGUGUAAGUAACUGUGCACAUCUUGACGGUACCUAAUCAGAAAGCCACGGCUAACUACGUG